rnacentral:rRNA from 1 species
UACGGGGGGGGGCAAGCGUUGUUCGGAAUUACUGGGCGUAAAGGGCGCGUAGGCGGCCUGGCAAGUGGAAGGUGAAAUCCCUCGGCUUAACCGAGGAACUGCCCUCCAAACUGCUUGGCUUGAGUCCGGGAGAGGUGAGUGGAAUUCCCAGUGUAGCGGUGAAAUGCGUAGAUAUUGGGAGGAACACCAGUGGCGAAGGCGGCUCACUGGACCGGAACUGACGCUGAGGCGCGAAAGCGUGGGGAGCAAACGGG